UACGUAGGUCGCGAGCGUUGUCCGGAUUUAUUGGGCGUAAAGAGCUCGUAGGCGGCUUGUCGCGUCGUCCGUGAAAACCUGCAGCUCAACUGGAGGCUUGCGGGCGAUACGGGCAGGCUAGAGUUCGGUAGGGGAGACUGGAAUUCCUGGUGUAGCGGUGAAAUGCGCAGAUAUCAGGAGGAACACCGGUGGCGAAGGCGGGUCUCUGGGCCGAUACUGACGCUGAGGAGCGAAAGCGUGGGGAGCGAACCGG
rnacentral:rRNA from 1 species